UACGAGGGGGGCGAGCGUUGUUCGGAAUUAUUGGGCGUAAAGGGUGCGUAGGCGGCCUGACAAGUCUGAUGUGAAAUCCCUGGGCUCAACCCAGGGCCUGCAUCGGAAACUGUCGGGCUUGAGUAUGGGAGAGGGGAGUGGAAUUUCCGGUGUAGCGGUGAAAUGCGUAGAUAUCGGAAGGAACACCUGUGGCGAAAGCGGCUCACUGGACCAUUACUGACGCUGAGGCACGAAAGCUAGGGGAGCAAACAGG
rnacentral:rRNA from 1 species